UACAGAGGUCUCAAGCGUUGUUCGGAUUCAUUGGGCGUAAAGGGUGCGUAGGCGGCGCGAUAAGUCGGGUGUGAAAUCUUGGAGCUUAACUCCGAAACUGCAUUCGAUACUGCCGUGCUUGAGGACUGGAGAGGAGACUGGAAUUUACGGUGUAGCGGUGAAAUGCGUAGAUAUCGUAAGGAAGACCAGUGGCGAAGGCGGGUCUCUGGACAGUUCCUGACGCUGAGGCACGAAGGCCAGGGGGAGCAAACGGGG
rnacentral:rRNA from 1 species